rnacentral:rRNA from 1 species
UACAGAGGUCUCAAGCGUUGUUCGGAUUCAUUGGACGUAAAGGGUGCGUAGGCGGCGCGGUAAGUCGGGUGUGAAAUCUUGGAGCUUAACUCCGAAACUGCAUUCGAUACUGCCGUGCUUGAGGACUGGAGAGGAGACUGGAAUUUACGGUGUAGCGGUGAAAUGCGUAGAUAUCGUAAGGAAGACCAGUGGCGAAGGCGGGUCUCUGGACAGUUCCUGACGCUGAGGCACGAAGGUCAGGGGAGCAAACGGG